rnacentral:tRNA from 1 species
GACCCUAUAGUCUAAUGGUAGGACACUUCACUUUCUAUGAAGAGAUCGGGGUUCAAUUCCCCGUAGGGUUA